rnacentral:miRNA from 1 species
GGCUGAGUCAGAGGCACAGAAUUAGGCCCGACCUACGCUGGGACAGGGUCUGUUCUGUGUCCUCCUGACACAGCCUGGC